CGGAAGCCAGUCGUCGCCGCUCCUUCCUUCGUUUCCAUCUUCAACACAACAUAACCUAACCUAGCAGCACCAUAAAUACAUAAAGGAACAACAUUGGAGGAAUAACCAAAAAAACCUGCACCCCCUCAUUUCUGCCCGAACCAGAGACCCCCACCACCGUCGUUCAUCUCCAGCAGCCCCGUCGCCACUCACCAGUCUUGUUCACCCAGUAACGCCGCUAGCAACCAGCCGCCGACCACCAGUUCACUCCAUAUCUUUCACCAGCCCUCAUUUUCAGCAUCACUGCAGCAACCGGACAGACCGUCCGUCGACCACACACACCAAACGACCCUCGUUCUCCAUCGUCUUCAGGGAAUCGAAUAGCGGCGGCACUUGAGCAGAAAACCAACAACCACUCACUGCUUGUCAUUUUCUUCACAAAACACACGCAUACACGGAGAACCGUUCUUGCUUGUCAAAUUUAAAAAUCAAGCCUGAUUCGGAGUACCGCCUGAGGUCCGAGGAUCGUCGAGUUCCGGCAAGCUGUUUCCAAUUCCGGUUCCACUCGUCGUUGGGUAUUAGAAAUAGUAAAACAGAUCCUUCAUUUGAGGUUCUCCCUUCAUAUCUGAUUCUUCUAUAUGAUUUGAUAUUUAUUUAAUUGAUCGUCUUAGCAAAGUUUUUAAUUCUAUGUUUGAUUUAAUUGAUCUUAAUGCUUGAACGUGCUCUGUUUUAUCUUCCUAUAGUUAUUGACUUGAUAUUUUAGGU
rnacentral:lncRNA from 1 species